UGCCACAGAUCCCCGAGCCGUGACAGCGUAACAGAGAGGGACCCCGAGGCCCCACAUCCUGCAUCUGUCUGUGCUGUUCUCUCCCCUGGGAAGAUGAAUCCACACUGUCCACGGAAGAUGAGGAAGGUCAGUGAGGCGAUGGCCUCUGGAGACCCGGGACGAGGGACACAGCGACCUCAGCCUGGGCUGGCCUGGCCUGCAGAGCCGGGGUGACUUCCUGCGGCCCGGCCCCCGCUUUGAACUCCAGCAGUUAGUUUAUGCUGCGGCUGCUGCUGUUUGUCCGAAGCUGGCACAGAUGUCUCAGAGUCACCUGGGUCACCUUUUUGAAGUCCUGUUUUUGUUUAGUUUUUUUUAAUUCCUUGCAAACUGCUUGUGUAUGUGAAGGGCUCUGCUUUGAGCCCUGGCUCAAAGACCCGGGGACCCUGCAUCCUGCACGGCCGGAGGCGACGGGAUCCAGAGGAAUACCAUGUUUUUCCACCGACAUGGUGGUACAUACCUGUAAUGUCAGCACUCGAGAGGCCAAGGCAGGAGGAUCUCAGUGAAUUAGAGGCCAGCUUGGCCUAUGGGUUCCCAGCCAGCCUGGGCUGUCUACUGGGACACGAUCUCAAAAACGCAAAGCAAAGGGGCUGGGGGUUUAGCUCAGUGGCACAAGUCUCGAAAGCAUGAGGUCGUGAGUUCGAUCCCUGGUAGCAAAAAAAAGGAAAGCACCACAGAAGGAAUCCCGCGGCUCUGUAAUGAACUUUCAUCCUGCAGUCAAGUAUUCCCUCCCUCUGAGUUUUCUCUUCUACUGCAAAAUUGUGAGACAUAAGUAAAACCAGGAAAUUUCCAACGCAUCAUGUGAGACAAAACUGGGCAGAAGCACCAUGUCCUACGAUCACACGCAGCUCGGACGUGCGGCCUCAGACGCCGCCUCCCCCUCUCCCUCUGCUUCAGUCCUCGGAUUCCCUCGGUUUCCAAAGCAGAAAAUGUAAGCUCGAGCCUUUGUGUAACAGCACGUGUGCUUCAGCCCUUUUGCUCUUCUAUCUGUUUGCUCGUCUGUUUUCUGGUGUUUGCCACAGGUCUCACAUCCGGGAUGUGAACUCGCUGUGGGGCGCAGGGUGGCCCCAAAGGCGCAUCCUCCUGCCUCAGCCUCCUGAGCCCUGGGCGGUCAGACGUGUACCACCACGCUCGCUUCCUCUACAUUGUUAUGGUGGGCAACACAGAAGUAAGCAUCCAGCUGAUCACUGCGUUAGGAGGCUCAGCGCAGGAGUACCUGCUCCCAGACCCAUUCAGCAGGCCACAAAGUGCUCAUUUUAAUUGAGGCUGUUGAGACUACAGCCGUCUACAGCAUCAGAAACCGUCUCCUUUUUUUACUCAUUCUAUACACAAACCCAAAGAUACCCAAGACCACAAAGCAAGAAUCAGCUACAAACGCCUUUGGGCAGGUCGGUGAGUGGGUGUUUGUGAAGAGAGAAGGCAGUUUUCUUUCUGGCCUAUUCCUCCAGGUUUUUGGGUUUCACUUUGGUGCUGCAUUGAGCUCUGUUUGUGAUCCAAUGACUUUUUGCUGGUAAAGUUAGCUGCUAACUGAGCGUUUGGACCGACCCUGUCCUCGGUACGCGGCCAUCGCCUCAUUCGGACGCGGCUUCCUGCACCAAGGGGAAAGCUGCCGCUUCUGUGUGUGCAUUUUGAGGUCUUAGUCUCAUCCUGGGGUGUUUCUCUCCCAUCAGACCUGAGCUCUGAGAAAACUCAAAAGGAUGAAAAAGAAACUUUCAGAACCAUUUUUAUUUCGCUAUUGAUUCUUCCUGGAUUUUCUCUUCAUUGUUAAGGUUUAUGACAGUUUCGCUUUGUUUAAGAUAUUAUUUCAAGGCGACAGCUGAUGUAAGAAUGAUUCAUUUGUAUUCGUGUGCAAACAGCAGAGGAAGCAGAAUUCCACUUCAUGGUGUCCAACCCCGCAGGCAGCGCAUAGGGGUUCCUCGUCAGUGUACUGGGGUGAGGUCACCCCAGAAAAGUCUGUGCAGCCACACUCAGCUGCAGACUAAACUUCCUUAGAAGGAAAGAGCGACUUUUAAAGAAUUGUUUCAGAGGGUCGGGGUUUUAGUUCAGGGGCACAAGCACCUGCCUGGCAGGCACAAGGUCGUGAGUUUGAUCCCUGGUACCCAAAAAGAAAGUAAAUAUUAUUUCAGGAAAGGGCACUGGGGCUUUCUCUAAAUAUUGGCACCAGUCAUUUUUAGCCACAUAUGACAACUGAUCACAGAUGCUCAUAAAAAGCUCAAAGACCAAAUGCUGUUUUCCUGUAACCCAGCCAAGUACCUUCCUCUAAGCUUCCUCUAAGACAAAAGCAAACCCUGUGUUGGAGAAAACCCAGGAAGCCGAGCGGCCCCUCCCAGAGUGCCUGCGUGCACAGACCUUGGGGGGCGGGGGGUUCAGGGUAAUUUUCCCCACAGAGCUUUGAUGUCUUUGCCUUGAACAAUGACUUUUCCCAUCUGGCUUCCGAGUGGCUUCUGGACUCGUCCGUCCCUGUGUCCCCUCACCCCGGCCUGAGUCCUCUGGUUUGCAGAGAGCCUCUCAGGGCCUGGUACUGGGGCUGAGAUGGGGCAGACUAAAAGCUAGUGACAGCUCUGCACAGACAGGACUUCUGCUGAGCCUCGCUCUUUCUGCAAAGGAGAGAGGGAGAACAGAGAGAAUGUGGGAGGGUAGGAGAGAGGAGAACAGAGAGAAUGUGGGAGGGUAGGAGAGAGGAGAACAGAGAGAAUGUGGGAGGGAGGCACUCAGAGCACACCGAACAGGAAGUGGGUGUAACACCAAUAAUCCCAGCACCUGGGAGGCCGAGACAGGAAGACUGCAAAUUCAAACCAGUUUCCAUAAAUUGGUGGUUUAGUGAGAGCCUGUCUCAGAACAUAAAAGUAACACAAGAUUGGGAUUACAGCUCAGUGCAAAGGCCCAGGGUCCAGCCCGCAGUACUGUGAACAAAACUCUGCCAAAAGCCAAAGAAGGGAAGGAAAUACAGCUAGCUGGGCACCGUAACCCCAGAAUUUGGGGAGGCUGAGGCAGGAAGAUUGCAGAAGACUCUUUUGUUUUAGGGUGGAGGGAUGGAACUCAGGGCUCCUCCCAUGCGUACUCCACCACCCAAGUAACAGUUUUUCAACAGGAAAGCACAGAACAGAAAAGACAAUCAGGGCGGAAUAUGUCUCCAGGCAGAGAAUUGCCGGACCCUGGGUUCCACGCCGGCACUUCAAAAAAUCAAAUGAAAUCAAGACAAAACUUAUCUCAAAAUGUAUCCUUCAUGCUGGGCUUGAUGGCACAUACCAGAAAUCACAGCACUCAGAAGGCUGAGGCAGGAAGAUCACUGCAAGUGUGAGGCACACCUAGUCUACAUAGCAAGCAACUGUCUCCAAAAAAAAAAAAAAAAGAAAAGAAAAAAGAAAAAGAAACAAAGCAAGCAAGAAAUGUGUCCUCAGCACCUUCAAGAGUAUUGCAUUUCUCUGCCGUGCAAAAGCCAUUUGUCCUCUUCCUUUCUCAAAUUUUGUAAAUUUUUUAAAAUGAAAAUUGCAUACUAUUAUAUGCACAUGCAAUUUAGAUUAAAUGUGCAUACAUAGGGGCUAGGGAUUUAGCUCAGCGGCAUAAGCGCCUGCCUUGCAAGCAGGCAGUCUUGAGUUCGAACCCCAGUACAGAUAAAAAGGAAAAAGACCAAAAAAAAAAAAAAAGUGUUUUAGGAAGCCUUAACUGGUUGCCUCUCUUAGAAAUUUCAGGAGUUAGAGUUAACCCAGUAAAAAUAAAUCUCUCCAGGUAUUGAUGACUGUUGUUAACGGUUAUGUGCAGCAUAUUAAAAAUUUUUUUAAAUCCCAAGAUUUGGGCUGGGGAUUUAGCUCAGCGGCAAGAGCACCUGCCUGGCAUCUGCAAGGUCAUGAGUUUGAUCCCUGGCACCAAAAAGUAAAUAAAAUAAAUAAAUGCUAAGAUUCAGGGCAGGUCCCAGGUUGUUGCCUAGACCAGAUGAUUCUAGACAGUAGGACACCUGUGUGAAUGCAGCUGGACCGAGCUCCACAGGGAAAAGUUAACUGGCAGGUGCACAAAGGGUUAGUGGGGGUCGAGAAGGCGAGACUAGUUAGUGCCUGGCAGGACGGGUCCUGGGGCAGGGUGUGAUGGCCGGCACCUGUCAUCUCAGUACUCACAGGCUGAGGCGAGAGGAUCUCCUUCAAAGCUGACCUGAACCGCGUAGUGAGACCAUGUCUCACAAAACUAAAGAAACAACCCAUUCUUAAAUGGGAACUCAGGCUCUGUGCAGGGUGGAAUCUCAGGUGUCCCUGUAUUGUCGUGGCCCCUCGGUCUUCUGCUGUGGGCCUGAGGAACAGCAAGGGCGGCCGUCCGCGAACCACUCCAGAGGGCAAAGACCUGUGGAUGCAGGGGCUUCUGUCACAGCGUCACCUCUGGCCAAAGCUUGAGUCCUGAGCACAGUCAUGGCUUUGGGCCGGUGGUGUUGUGAGAGUCGACCCCCCUGCUACAACCCCCUCCCCAGAGCGGAGAAUGAAAGGGUUAACUCCCUAACUCCCCAGAGCGGGGAAUGAAAGGGUUAACUCCCUAACUCCCCAGAGCAGGGAAUGAAAGGGUUGACUCCCUAACUCCCCAGAGCGGGGAAUGAAAGGGUUGACUCCCUAACUCCCCGGAGCUCUCAGAACAGAGCAGUAAAGAGUGCUUCACUCCCUAAACCUUUCCCAGGAGAUAGUCAGAGCAGGGCCAAAAGGAAUGUCUCUGCUAGUCAUUAACCACUAAAUGCUCUGUUCUCUAUAAAGAUAGAGAUAAGCAAAAGAAUGUACUAUAUAAACAGGACCAGGAAGCACCUGGCACUCUAAGGUCAACCCAAGACCCUCGGUCUCCAUGGUUACUCAGCCCCAGACCCUCAAAUCAGCAUUAGCCAGGUCCUGCGCCGCUCAAAAUUAACCAAUGCGAUUUGCUUCUGUAAACUUGCUUGCCUCCUACAUGUACCUUUAAAAACCCUACACAAAUUCCCCUCGGGGCCCCUCUGCACUUGUUUGCCUGAGGGACCCCAUGCGCAUGGAAAUAAACUUUUUUUCCUCACCAAGAGUUGAGUCCUUGGGGUCUCUUUCCCUGCGGCGUCGGCCCUAACAUCUUGGAGGCCCCACCGAGAUAGCACGUCUCACGGAAGGUGACCUCAACGGCUCUGCGGUGGGUGAGUACGACCGGUCGCUUCUUAUUUUUACUCUGAGGAUCAAUCUACCGGUAUUUUACGCCCCGAGCCAAACGGCUCCGGUCUAGGGGCAAUUUUUGUUACCUGUUUUUGUUAUCUGUUCUCUGUUCUUGGGUGAUCGGGGGACGCCCCACACGGUUUUCCGUGACUCACCGUCUGCGAUAGGAUUUUCCUAUCGGUUUGGGGCCCAAUCUGUGGUCCGUCAGGGCCAAUUCGGAGACACCCUCCGAGGUGACUCGUUUGGGGAAUUUCAUUCCCAAUCUGUGGUCCGUCUGGGCCAAUCUGGGGAAUUUCAUUCCCAAUCUGUGGUCCGUCCGGGCCAAUCUGGAGGCACCCCCUAAGGUGACUCGUUUGAUGUGAAACUAAUGCGUGAGAGUGAGGUGGCCGGCCUGUUUGUCCUGUGUGUUGUGACUGUUGUGAUCGGUUAUUUGUUGUGUCGCGCGUACGCUAACCACUCUUUGUCUUCAGAACACCAUGGGACAAAUGACAUCGUCCCCAUUGUCCCUCACCCUCGACCAUUGGUCGGAGGUUCGAGAGAGGGCUCACAAUCUCUCCUUUCAGGUUAAAAAAGUAAAUGGCAGACUUUCUGCUCGUCUGAGUGGCCCACAUUCUCCGUGGAUUGGCCACCAGAGGGGACUUUCCACCUUCCCCUCAUCUUAGCAGUUAAGAACAUCAUCUUCCGCCCUGGACGAGAGAGCCACCCCGACUGGGUCACCUACAUCUUGGUAUGGCAAGACCUCAGGGAGAAGCCCCCACCGUGGGUAAAACCCUUCCUUCCUCCGCCCUCUCCUUGGUUGCCUGUUUAAACUUGUUACUAACUUAGGGGCUUGUUGCCCAUUUCUGUUGCAGGAUCCAUAUGGCUUAUUAGAUUCAAGGUUCAUGAUAAGAAAAAUUAUUUCCUUUAGCUGACCAAACUAUGCAAGAAGCUCCCUUUGUUUGUGUCUUUAAUGUUGUGGCACCUUGUUUAAUAUGUAAGACUUCAAUUGAUUGCUUGCAACCUCGGCAUGCCUUUUAAAAGGAGUAUUUUUUCUCUCUGGUGAAAAUGUAAACAUGUACACAUAUAUAUGUAUAUCUAUGGUUGUUAAGAGUCAUGUCAACUUUGCCAAGUAAAAACCAGGCGGUACUAUAUUUGAGCCAGUUAAAAGGUUACAGUUUUGUUUUUAAAAUACAACAUUUUUAUGUGGUAAAAAGACAUAAAAUAAGUAUGUUUUGGGCUACUAGAAGGUGACUUCAAGGGUUUUGUUGAGAGUUUUGAUGUUGUCUGAGAAAUGAGAAAAAAAGGUAAUUGACUGGUAAUAGUAAAAAGAGGGACAAAGAGAGUGGUCUUCAAGUAAAGGUGUCUGGCUAUGCCAGAAUGUAGAAAAAGAUUAAAGCUUAGUUUGAGAGGUAUUAUUGUAAGUUGUAGAAGGCUCAAGAGGAUGUGAAUUUUAUUUGUCUUGGUUUAUAGUACUACAAAUAACAGGUUUGACAAAAAGUAAAUGUGUUCAGAAUUUGACAGUAUUAGAUCAGUUUUGGUAAAAGUAUACAUAAGAUUGUACUUUGCUGCAAAAUGUUUUCAUUAAAAUGAGAUUAUAGGUGAUAUUAAAAAUAAGAUACAAGUUCUUACAUGCGCUGUAAACAUCUGGGAGAUUAUACAGCACAAUUUUGUUACCUAUGAAAAAGCCCUUUUUGUUAAAAAUAUAAUUUUAAUAAAAUAAUGGCCUGUCACGUGACACCCUUGGACAAAAAAACAGUGUGCCAUCCAGAUGAAGCCGGCUCUCUGAUCCGGAAUGCCAAAACCAUGUUCUCCUUUUGUGCCACCCUGACUGGACAUCCAGAGGUAAGGAGGUUUCCCAAUAUUGCCAGUUGUUCUCUUUGUAACUCAGUCGGCCCCACAUGUUAGACAAAAAUUACAAAGGUUUGAGAGGUUUAAGAAAAUGCCCCUCAGCCAGUUAAUAGAGAUAGCACAAAAAGGUCUUUGAGAACUGAAAAAUUUACAAAAAGAUAGCCAAGAUGUUAAAAUUGCUCUAUGAGAAAAACUUUUAAAAAACAGACGAGACUUUCUGGGGGCAGUUGGAUACUGUAGGCUAAAUUUUACUGAAAAGCUUGCCUCUAUAUGACUCCCAUAAGGGAGAAACUCAAAAUUCACUGAACUGGACUGAUAAAUGUAAACAGGCCUUCCAACAGCUCAAGCGGGCCUUGACAGAGGACCCAGCCCUGGGACUCCCUGACGUUACCAAGCCUUUCAUCUUGUUCAUAGAUAAACUCAGGGACAUUGCCAAAAGAGUCCUAACUCAGGACAUUGGCCCUUAAAAGAGGCCUAUAGCCUACCUCUCCAAAAGACUUGAUCCAGUGACAGGAGUAUGGCCCCCUGCCUUAGAAUACUAGCUACUGUGACAAUGUUACUUAAGGAGACAAAAAAAAAACUCGCUUUGGGCAAGUGAUUUCUGUGGUAACCUCUCACAGUUUAGAGACUCUUAUCAAAACCCCCCCUAAAAAAAAAAAAAAAAAAAAAAAAGGGCUCUCAAAUGCCAGAAUUCUACUGUCAAGCCCUGCUUCUAGACCCAGAGUUAAUGAUAUUCAAGACUUCUUCAGCUUUAAACCCAGCCACCCUUAUGCCUGAUGAUGAUCCGGAGGAACAAAGGACACCUCUCCAUGAGUGUGCUGACAUCCUCGAACUGCAGCAGAACCUACAGGCUGAUCUUACUGACCAGCUUUUGGGAAAUGCCAACAACUGUUCGAUGAAAACAGCUUCAUCCAAAACGACAAACGAGUGGCCGGGGCAGCAGUGACCACCGAAAAGGAGGUACUCUGGGUUAAGCGGGUAGAGCCUGGCACUUCUGCCCAAAAGGCAGAGCUUGUUGCUUUGACUGAGAGGCUAAAACUAGCCACGGAAAAGAGGGUAAACAUUUUUUUACUGAAGACAUCCCUUUGCUACUGUACAUAUACGGGGAAGCCAUCUAAAAAUGCUCCACAGAUUCUAGAUUUGCUGGCAGCUGUCUGGCGGCCUCAAUGGGUUGCUAUUCCUUACAAGGCUCACCCAACCAGAGAUAAAAAAUAACAACCACAUCAGAGGGGUCAACCAAGAAAGUAACUGCUCUGAUACUAGUCCUCUGACCUUGUCAGAACUAGUCUACACAAAAAAAAAAGACCUACAGUUGACAUCUCAACUUGGAAUAAAGUCUCCCACCCCAAGGGGCUAAUACCAGUUACCUGAUAAACAAGUACUGUUACUGGAGGCACUAAGAUGGGAGCUGUUUCACCUUACAGAAUUGUUCAGAACUCAGUAUUUUAUUCCAAAACUCUACAAACUGACCACCUCUUCGAGCUCCAGAUGCCCACAGUGUUUGUUAGUCAACUCAGCCAAGAGCUCUGCGUUGGAGACCACCCGACAUCAAAAAAUUGUUCCAGGAGAACAUUAGAAAAUAAACUUCAUGGACAUGGUAAAACUUAAUUUACAGGGACACUGCUAUCUCUUGGUAUUAAUAAACAUUUUUACUGGCUAGGUAGAGGCUUUCCCUACUAAGUCUGAGUCAGCCUUAGUGGUAGUUAAAAGGCUAUUACAUGAGAUCAUACCUUGAUUUGGCCUCCCACUAUCAAUGGGGUCCGAUAAUGGCCUGGCUUUCAUAGCCCGAGUCACCCAAAAGUUAGCCCAGACAUUAAAGAUUAAUUAAAACUCCACUGUGCCUAUCAGCCACAUAGCUCAAGGCAAAUAAAACGUAUGAACCAAAGUCUCAAGGACAUUUUAGCUAAGCUGUCUUCAAAAACUGGCAAUAAUUGGAUGAGCCUUCUUCCCUUUGCACUGUUAAGAGCUAGAUAUACCCCAUAUGUUUCUAAAAUUUCCCCCUUUAAAGCCAUGUUUGGGAGGCCCCCGCCAUUGGUUCCAAGAUUGUCAGAAGACAAAUUAGCUGAAAUUACUAAUCAAAAUCUUAAGUCCCUACAGACACUCCAACCUGUGUUGGCCUGGAUCCACCAGCUGUUUAGACAAAAACACUUGGACCUGCCUUCAGAGACCAAGGCCUCAAGGACUCCAGUCUUGGUUCGAUGUCACCACCGUGACUCCCUUAAACCCCGCUGAGAAAGACCUUUCACCGUGGUGCUCAGUACCCCCACUGCCAUCAAGGUAGCAGGAAAAACUGCGCGGAUUCACUACACUCAUGUAAAGCCACUGGAAACAGCAGACAACGAGGGACAUACUCAGUGGACUACACAACAGACUGGUAACCCUUAAAGUUAAAAAUUGACUAACUGUUUUAGCUUGCUUGUUUUGAUUUUAAUAACAUUAAUGCCGACCUUACAUGGCGGCUUUGGUCCCCCUGUAAGCAAAAAAAAAACCAAUUGUUAAAGAUCUUUUGUUUUAAAAAAAAAAAAAAGGGGGGUCUCUGCGCCGCACUUAAAAAAAAAAUGUUGUUUUUACACUGAUCAUACUGGGAUUGUAAAAGAUACAAUAAAAAAGUUGAGAGAGAAAAUCAGAUCUCAAGAGCCCCCUUCAAAUAAAGCCAAAGUGUUCUCUUUCCGAGAAUCAAUUCUGCCCUAUAUCCUCCCUUUAUUGAGACCCCUGGCCGGAUUCAUUAUAGUCAUGGCUAUAGCCCCUUGCCUCAUUAACCGAGUAACCCGGUUUGUAAGGGCUCAGAUCUCUCAGGUAAAAGUUAUGGUGCUACGUCAACAAUAUGACCCCUUACCUAUACAGGACUUUUAGGAUUAAAAGUCAUUGGAGAAAUAAAAGGGGGGAAUGUGAGAGUCGACCCCCCUGCUACAACCCCCUCCCCAGAGCGGAGAAUGAAAGGGUUAACUCCCUAACUCCCCAGAGCGGGGAAUGAAAGGGUUAACUCCCUAACUCCCCAGAGCAGGGAAUGAAAGGGUUGACUCCCUAACUCCCCGGAGCUCUCAGAACAGAGCAGUAAAGAGUGCUUCACUCCCUAAACCUUUCCCAGGAGAUAGUCAGAGCAGGGCCAAAAAGAAUGUACUGUAUAAACAGGACCAGGGAGCACCUGGCACUCUAAGGUCAACCCAAGACCCUCGGUCUCCAUGGUUACUCAGCCCCAGACCCUCAAAUCAGCAUUAGCCAGGUCCUGCGCCGCUCAAAAUUAACCAAUGCGAUUUGCUUCUGUAAACUUGCUUGCCUCCUACAUGUACCUUUAAAAACCCUACACAAAUUCCCCUCGGGGCCCCUCUGCACUUGUUUGCCUGAGGGACCCCAUGCGCAUGGAAAUAAACUUUUUUUCCUCACCAA